UCGCUUAUAAUUAAAUCAUAUAUAAUAGAAACGGUGUGAGCAUGUGCGAAUACAGAAGUAUUUAUUCGUUUAACGUCGGUGGCCUCAAAUCAGUGAGCCGUUAAGUGUUUUACCUGCUGUGCGUUGAACACACGAUAUAUAUUAUAUAGCUAGUAUAACGUUAGAGGGUGUAUCAAAAAAAAAAAAAAAAAAUUGGUUUUUAUUUACGCCCCAUUGGACUAUAGGGUAUCAUUAAAACGAUGUACGCACGCUGAACAUACCUUUACAUAUAUAUAAACAUAAAUUUGUUAUAUUGUGUCGCGUGUAUGUAUAAACGUAAUUGUGUGCACGUGGACUUGUCGUUGUAAUAAUAACUGUGUGUGCGAGCGGACUUUAACGCCGAGGCAGUUUAGACGUUGUUUUACAGCCGUUCCCUUCUUCCUUCCACGCCGCCGACUCGCUCUGGCUAGUUCCGACCGAUCUAUGCCGACGACACACGCACACCGGGAGAAUAAAGAGGGGUGGUGGCGACGCUCGAUGGCCCGAGGGUUUCAUUAGACGACAACGACAGGAUUUGAUGGCCAACAAUAACGUCGUAAAACGUUGUUUGGCAGAGCUUAAUGAAAUUUUGCCGCCGCCUCCGACGACGACAAUGUUUCAUUUUUACGCAGAUUCACCCGACCCCGUUGUGAUUGUGCAUACAUGUUUAUAUAGCGGGCCGACCGAGUAGGUAUAUAGUAAUAUGGCGUGGCUGCAGCAGCGGAGUGCGCGCAACACGCGUUCACGUUAAUAUCAUACUCUAUACAUGGCGUGUUCGCGAAGGGAGGUGUGCAGAGGGGGUUAGAAAACAAGAUAGAAAAACAAAACGAGUCACUAGAGAAUUACUUUUGGGCUAUUAUGAAAAGCCGUCGCGUCAUAGAGCCUUACACGUGAGUAAAACCGCAAAACUACGCAUAAUACUGGAGCCUAUAAAAAAAAAAAACCGUUAAAUCACGUAACUAUUUCACUAUUCAGUACAAUCGUAUAAUAAACUAAGAAUAAUAUUAUAGUUCUUCCGGAUUUUGCAUGAACUCAAUUAAAUAUUUUUAGUGUUAUAAUAGAGUCUUCGAAAAAAAUAAAAUAAAAUUUUUAAGAACUAUAUAGUAUUACCUAUAUUAGUCUCACUCAUUUAUUAUCGUGACCCCCAAACAACUAUUUUAAAAGCAUAUAAUAUGCUUCUUUUUUAUACACGAGGUAGAAAUCUAAUUUUUAUGUAUAAAUUCGUUUCGUGUCAUUCUAAUUCUAAAUAAACUAAUUUAGUUUUGCUUUUUUCAGUUAUUACAGCUGCAGAAUGUUUAUAUAUUAUGUUAAUAUUAUGACACUAUUGUAAUAAUAAAAAACGUAAAAACCCAGAACGCGUUACAGAUUAUAGAUCUGCAUAAUAGCCUUCAGUACCUAUACGGACAGUAUGCCUAUAACAUCGAUAUCGACCAUUUCAAAAUUAAAGAUUUUGUCUUGUCAUUUGAAACCUCUUGUAUGAAGUAUGCGCCGAUCAAUUCAGUGGAUGUAGAGAAUACUGAAAAUCUAGAGAAAUACAUGGUAAUUAAUUCUUUUUUUUUAAAUUUAAAUUAAUUUUUAAAACUUUUUUAUUAAUUUUUAUAACUAGUUU